GGAAGGAGAAGUCGUAACAAGGUUACCGUAGGUGAACCUACGGUAGGAUCAUUG
rnacentral:rRNA from 1 species